rnacentral:rRNA from 1 species
CCCUUAGAUGUCCUGGGCUGCACGCGCGCUACACUGAUGUGUCCAGUAAGCACCUAACCUCUUCCGAAAGGAAUGGGUAACCUUUGCAAAGCACAUCGUGAUGGGGAUAGAUUAUUGCAAUUAUUAGUCUUGAACGAGGAAUUCCUAGUAAGCACAAGUCAUCAGCUUGUGUUGAUUACGUCCCUGCCCUUUGUACACACCGCCCGUCGCUCCUACCGAUUGAAUGUUCCGGUGAGCUCUUCGGACUGCGCGGUCUGCAGUUUCUGCGUUCCGUGCGGAAAGUUGCGCAAACCUUAACAUUUAGAGGAAGGAGAAGUCGUAACA